rnacentral:rRNA from 1 species
GACGGGGGAGGCAAGCGUUGUCCGGAAUUAUUGGGCGUAAAGAGCGCGUAGGUGGUUUGUAAAGUCAUUUGUGAAAACUUUAGGCUUAACUUAAAGACUGCAAGUGAUACUGAUAAACUUGAGUACAGUAGAGGAAAGUGGAAUUCCUGGUGUAGCGGUGAAAUGCGCAGAUAUCAGGAAGAACACCAGUGGCGAAGGCGGCUUUCUGGGCUGUUACUGACACUGAGGCGCGAAAGCUAGGGGAGCGAACAGG